UGUGGGCACCCCUUACUGGAUGGCCCCAGAAGUCAUCCUCGCGAUGGACGAAGGGCAGUAUGAUGGGAAGGUGGAUGUGUGGUCUCUGGGCAUCACCUGCAUCGAGCUGGCGGAGAGGAAGCCUCCUCUGUUCAACAUGAACGCUAUGAGUGCCUUAUACCACAUCGCACAGAACGAGAGCCCGGUGCUGCAGUCCAACCACUGGUGAGAGCUCGCCCU